rnacentral:lncRNA from 1 species
UUGAGUUUCAGUCACUUUCAACCAAGAGUCUUGACCAAUCUAGUAAGUCAAGGAGCUGUGUAUGGAAGAAGAGGAAGCGAAGAGUUUAAAGCAGGUUGAUAAAAAUCUCAAACCUAAGCCUAAGCAUAUGGCUUAGCCUUUAUUCUGUAGAGAGCAGGGAGCCAUCCAGGCAUUCAGAGGAGGGGAUUAUUGGGAGUAAUGAUUUAGGGAAUCAGUCUGGCAAGAAUGUCCAGGAUGGAGUGCCCUGCAGCAAACCCCAAGAACCCAGGAGAGAAGGGGGACAGUAAAAACAGUCAAAGGAAAUGAGAGCAAAGACAUCAAUAGACAAGACAUUUCCACAAGACACUGGAAGACAAACACUGGAUGCAAAGAAGGUAUCUUGACUUAACACUGAUAACAGAGGCCUGCAAGGGGUAUACCCAUGACAAGAACUGAUUCCCCACCACAAGCUGCAGAAAGGCUCAGCACAAGGAGGCACCAGGAGGCUACUGGAGGAUAUACUCAAGCAAAGUGAGGGAGUAAAGCCAGAGAGAGGAAGAGAAGGGAAUUUGAAACAGGGAAAGUAGCAAAGGGAAGUCCCAAGACAAGCAACCAAACCAGAUCAGACCAGGAGGGGAGAGUCAAUUUUUUUUUUAAAAAGUGACAAAUUAUUGAAAACAUUUGAAUUAUUGGAAAAUAAAUACAUGCCUAACAUUUGUAAUGGACUAUUUGGAAAAAAUCAGAGAUACCUACACAGAAAACUAGGCAAACAAAAACUGAGAUUAUUGUUAAAAUCUAAGAAAAACAAAAUAUUGUACAAGAAAGAAAAUAAUCGCACGGCACUACCUGGCUUAAGAGUGACCCAGCUGGAUGCAGUGGCUCACGCC